GACAGAGGAUGCAAGCGUUAUCCGGAAUGAUUGGGCGUAAAGCGUCUGUAGGUGGCUUUUUAAGUCUGCCGUCAAAUCCCAGGGCUUAACCCUGGACAGGCGGUGGAAACUACCAAGCUGGAGUACGGCAGGGGAGACUGGAAUUCCUGGUGUAGCGGUGAAAUGCGCAGAUAUCAGGAGGAACACCGAUGGCGAAGGCAGAUCUCUGGGCCGUAACUGACGCUGAGGAGCGAAAGCGUGGGGAGCGAACAGG
rnacentral:rRNA from 1 species